UGUUCGCCGGGACACCCCGGGCGGCGCAGCGCCCUCGGGGCUUGGCGCAGCCCCGCCGCGAUUUGCAUGCGCUCCAGUCACAAAGGUUCAAGGUCAGGAGCGCGGGGCGGCCAAGCCCCGCCCGGCCCAGGCGCUAUUCUUCGCCCCGGCGGCGGGAACUCCUCUCCGCCCGCGCCCGGCCGCCCCUGCGCGUGAAUGGCCGAGCGCCGCCGCCGUCUGAGGCGCUUUGUGUCUCGGCCCGGACAGCUGGGCCCGCGGAGGACGUGCCAGCUCGGCCGGCGGCGCCCCCGCGCCAGCGCCCCUCGCCCAUGCUAAUCAGCCUGGCAGCGCGACUGGGCGGGCGGCCCGGCCCGGAGCCCCUAGCGUCCCCUGCCAGGGCCCCUCCCACUGCUGCCAGGAGCCCCCCACAACUCUCGCCGCCAGGUGCCCUCCACCCCACUCCACCUCCAGCCUCCUGCAGGAGCCCUCUCCAGCUGCCAAGAGUGCUCCGUGGCCCGUGAGAACGGCGGACCCACGGUGCGGGACAGGGAAGAGGUUGGGCAGGGAGCCCCAGGGCUCUGACUGCACUCCUGGGACCCGCGGGGGCUUCUCCAGCCUCAGUCCCCUGAACUGUGAGGCAGGCUGCCGGCGGUGGCCUCCAGAAGCACUUCUGGAACUGGCUGUGUCUCCCAGCAGCCGCCUCCAGCCUGGUGACCCAGACACAAGGAUACACCUGGGCUUGUCGUGGAGAUGCGUUGACACAGCCUUUAGCGCUGGGAGCUAUUCUCUGAUCGCACCGCAGGGUCUUAACCCCGCCCACCCUGGUCACUCAAGUCAGGGUCACCUAACCUGGGCUUCCUUCUCAGGCAGGAACCUCUGAAUUCCCACGGGUGAAGUUGAAGCUGCCCUGUCUGCACCCGUUGGUGUGAACUAGCCUCUGACUGGCAUUGCUCCGCUCCUCAAUGCUCAGCAGCUUGCUCUGACUACCGUCCUGGACUUGCUCCUCAUGAUACAGCGACUCGACACCCUCUUGGGGCCUUGAGGAGACUGAGGCACAGUCCUUACUCUCAGGCAACUCAAGCCCAAUGAGGCUCAAGACAAAGACGUGGACCUUGUACCAGAAGGCAGGUAGAUCCAGCACCUGGGCAACAGCUCUUCAGCGCUGAGGGAUCCAUCCUGGAGAGCUUCCCAGAGGAGGUGGUGCUGAGCCAGCAGCCACAGCAGCUGUUUUUCCCAGGAGGAAUAAAUAGAGGAGCAGCUCUGAGCUUCCCCUUCAGAGGGACCAGCAUGUAGGAGAAGGCAGGCAGCUCUCUCUGGCCUGAGGAUGAUGCAUCCAACGUUGCUGCCCCUGCAACAGUGGACACUGCCCUUCAGAAAUGUGUGUGUGUGUGUGUGUGUGUGUGUUAAAGCAUACACACAACAUCUACCCUCUCAGCAGCAACCAUCACCUUAUCCAUCUCCACAAGGUUUUCAUCAUCCCAAACGGUGCAGCUGCCGUGGAAAGCUGCCUGGUGGCUCCUCAAGAAGCUAACGGAAGUGCCACGUGACCUGGGAGGUAAUAAUUCCCCUUCUCCUCUCUGCCCUCCACUGCGGGGUAGACCCUGCUCUACCUUCCUUUGAAGCUCACUCUUCUCCUGCAAGCCGACCUGACAGCAGGUGUCCUCUACAUCUGGCUGAUCUCACGGUAUUUUCAGGGUUUGUCUCUGUGGCAGCAGGUGUGAGAACAUCAUCCAUCUGUGGGGGACACUUGGGCUCUUCUCAUUCCUGCCUCUCCUCUGCUGAGUAACGCAUCUGUGAACAUGAGUGUCAGUGCUCUGCUCUCGCUUCUUGGGGAAUAUAGGAGCAAGUGAGACUGCUGGGUCACGCGGCAGUUCCCUCAGUUCUUGAGGAGCCACCAGGCAGCUUUCCACGGUGGCUGCACUGUCUCACGUGCCCACCAGCCACUCGCAAGGAUUCCUAUUUCUCCUUAUCCUUGCCAACACUUGCUUCUUCUUUUGAAACAAUUUGUACAGUGGUUAUCUUAGUAGGUGUGAGGUGCUAUUUCAUGAUUUUGAUUUGCACUUCCCUGGUGGCCAGUGAUGUUAAGCAUAUUUUCAUGUGUUUUAUUGGCCAUUUGUUAUCUCCUUUGAGGAAUUCAUACCCUUGCCCAUAAUUAUAUUGGAUAUUUUGUGUGAGUUUUAGUUCUACAUAUAAUCUGAACAUGAGUUCUUUUUUUGUGUGGGGGGGAAUAAAGUGUUUUGUUUCAAAAAACGUGUGAAAACACUCAUUUAUUACUUUUUUAAAUUUAGACACAUGUCUUCAAAAAGAUGGGUACAAAAAGUAUUAGUGUUUAUAUUUUUUGACACAGCAAUUCCACGCCAAAUGAAUUUUCAUGGACGGGCAUGAUGAUUUAGUUGUGAGAAUAUUCAUCACAAAAGGAGAAAGAAAGCAAGGGAGAGAUGAAAUUGGCAACAUCAAUAUUCAAUACU